CUUGCAAAACAGUUCUCAACACAAUGCUUUGUGUGUAAAAGGAACGGCGGGAAUGGAUUCAAGUUGCGCAUCGUGAUAAAUGGCGUGAAUAUCCUGAGCGGGUGGACAGCCCUUCUCCGUGAGUUUUUUCUUUUCUUUUCCAGUCACCAAGACAGCACGCGUGUGCAGAAGCUGCAGCGGUGGGACGCAGUGCUAAGUCUGGGGGCGCCGACACCAGCUCGCGCGUCGCGAGCUCGCCUGGGCAGCUCGGCGGUCGCGGCGAAACAGCUCCCACGUCCGCCUUCCACCGACUCCUCGGUCUUAGAGCGGACGAGGCGUCCCCCCAGAGGAAAGACUGGGCGCCGCAGACGCCCCUUGGAGAAGUCCCCGGCCACUCGCCCCACCUCGGGGUCCUGUUCCUCUUGGGCUUCCCCUAAACCCUCCGGCGGGCGCUCCAGAGAGGCCCGUGGGACGCGAUUUGAAACGGGUCGUGCCCAGCCCAGCCCGCAUCUACUCGCCCGGCCAACAGCCCAGCCACAGCUUAGGGACUUUGAGGCGCCCGCGCCCCUUUGUCGCGGUAUCUCUCGCCCAAGCAGGCCGGACGCCGAGGCCUCGCGGUAUCGAGCCUCCGUCCGCCCCGCCUCCUCGCCCUCCACUCGGCCCCGCCCUCGCUCUCUCACCCCUCCCCCUCUCCCGCCUCGCUUCCCCGACAAUCUCCUCGCGCUCCCGGCCCGGCACGCGCGCUGCGCCCGGCCGCCGCCGCCGCUGCCGCCGCCGCCGCAGCUGCCGCCGAGCGUUCCUCCGCUGCGCCUGGCUUCCAGCUUCGGGCCGGAACCGGAAGUUUGGGGGGCGGAGCCCGGCGGAGGCCAGGAGACCGAAAACGCGGCCGAGCCCGGAGCCCGGAGCCGGAGCCAGAGCCUGGACCAGAACUUGGCCGCCGCCUGCACCGCUGCCGCUGCCGCCAGCCGCUCCUUCCCCGCGCCGCAGCCGCCUCGCCGCCACCGUCGCGAGCUCGGCCACCAGUGGUCCUCGGACUUUAGGUGUCCGGGUUGA
rnacentral:lncRNA from 1 species